CUGUGUGAUGAUUUGACAAUAUUAAUUACUUUUAAUUUUUUCCAGUUUAGCAUCAUGUUUCACUGUCCAAGUCAAACCUUGUUAAAUAGAUAUAUUUUUCCUGGAUAUGGAGGAAGAAAAAUUGCUAAGGACACCACUAAUUUUAUUUACUUGUAUUAUCUAAUAUUUAUGAAGAAACUUUCUAAUGCUUCUCAUGCAGAAGCAUUCAAACGGCGGAAUAUUAGUGUAUCCUCGGAAGACGUUGCAAAAGCAGCAGUGAAGCUGGCCAGUGAGUUCAGCAUAUCCCACAGGAUGGCAAGCAGACGUGACCAUCACCACAGCUCUGGUAGCUCUUCAUCUUCCAGCAGGGCCAGCAAAGAGCACCACAAAAAAUCUGCAAAUAAAAUUGCAAAAAAUCCUAUUCACCGUAGCACUAAGAACAAGUUGUCUGCUCUUUCUAAAAAGCCUCCAAAGCCUCGAUUGUUCUCUUCUUCUCAACUUGAAGAAACUGCUAAGGAAGUUUCAACAUCUGAUCGAAGCUAUCAAAGUGGCUUUACUCUUAGUUCAAAAUCAUUGUCAUUGAACAGCAGUAGCAGUAGCAAUACCUCGCCAAAUACUAGUGGUUCAGAGAUGUCUUGAACAGGUUGUCAACAGCAUUACUGAUGUGGCGUAGUAUAACGGAAAUACAUUUUUGUAUUAUUUCAGCAUUUUCAUUAACGCACCUAGUGUACUUGCUCAACGUUUAUAAAGCUGAAAACAUUUUGUGAACAAAUUCAGAAAUUUCACUUUGGGAUUCAAAAUCUCCUGCACGACUUUUUUCAGUAUCUGGAUGCUCUUACAUAUUUUUUUUAAUAUUUCUUAAUUAUGAAGACAUUGAGAGAGUUCUACAUUUUUGUACUGAUGUAACAUUGCCAGCUUUAAUUUAUUUUAAUUAGUGGUGUUAGUCUUGACAAACUUUUAUCUAGACCUUUAAUAUUCCUCCUUGUUUUGGAAGUGGUUUGAGUAAAUGCAUUGUCUAAUUUUAAGAUGUAUUGAUAGUAACACAUUUGAUACAAAAAUAAUUCUAGAAUUCU
rnacentral:lncRNA from 1 species